UUUGAACGCUGGCGGCAGGCCUAACACAUGCAAGUCGAGCGGAGCGGCGGACGGGUGAGUAAUGCCUAGGAAUCUGCCUGGUAGUGUGGGAUAACGUCCGGAAACGGGCGCUAAUACCGCAUACUCUCAGAUGAGCCUAUGUCGGAUUAGCUAGUUGGUGGGGUAAAGGCCUACAAAGGCGACUAUCCGUAACUGGUCUGAGAGGAUGAUCAGUCACACUGGAACUGAGACACGGUCCAGACGCCUACGGGAGGCAGCAGUGGAGAAUAGUUGACAAUGGGCGAAAGCCUGAUCCAGACAUGCCGGGAGUGUGAAGAAGGUCUUCGGAGUGUAAAGCACUUUAAGUUGGGAGGCGUGACCAACAGAAGAAGCACCGGCUAACUUCGUGCCAGCAGCCGCGGUAAUG
rnacentral:rRNA from 1 species